UAUUAUUAAAAUUUUGUUGAAAUUAUUAUCCUAUUUAACUAUGUGAUGCAUCACGUUUCGUAGAACAACAUAUAUUUACAAAAUCUAAAGUACAGAUGCCCGUUAUUCUGAUACAUCAAUUAUAAUACAGAAACGUGAAUGAAAUAUAUUAUUUAAUAAAAUAUCAUAAAUGCGAAUAAAAAACAAUGGAGGGAUGAUAGAAUUUAACAAGCAUGCUAUUAUUGUUGUUUCUAUCACCACACAAUUGCUAUUACCAUAUUGUUAAAAAUUUACUUGUUUUUCUUUCUUCAACACUAUGUAUAUAGAAUAUUUGAUUUUUAUUCUUCUAUAUAUGUUUAAUCAAAAAAAGGCUUUCUAUAAAAUAUAACUUAUGUAUAAACAUUUUUUUCUAUUAUUUUGAUAAGAAAUUUUUAAUGCAUCAGAAAUUUCAUGUUUUGAUACGUUCUUCUUUAAAGAUGACGUCAAGACUUUCGGAAUUACGAAACGUUAUUGAUUAUAGCUCUGAAAGAAGUAAAUUUAAUUUUAACUGCAGUGUCUCAGGUGUAUAAGAAAAUGGCACAGCUUAUUCAAGAUACGAAUAUUACCAGUUCUUUAGCUUUUUCUAAAUCAUUGCAAAAUGAUGAUAAUGUACUUGAUGAAAAAGCACUGCUACAUGAAAAAGAAGAGACAGAUGUUAUAUUGAUACAUGAAUACUGUGAUAAAGAAUUAGGAAAUCAUAAGAAUGAAGAAGUACAGAAUAAUAAAUUGCAUAGUACUAAAUCAUUUGAAAAAGUUUUUUCAUGGCUUAUUACAUUUGAUAAAGUAAUGCAAUCAUCUAUAGGGAAGAGAAGUUUCCAUCUUCUAGAACAAUUGCUAUCCAUUUAUGUCAAUAAUAUUUUAAAAUUUAUGGAAAUAAAUUAUAUCAUGACAUUUGAAGUUAUUAAAUUGAAAAAGCAUAUGAGUAAUACCUUAAUAUUUUUUCACUUUUAUUGACACGAUAUUAAUGAGCACAUAAGCAAUUAUAACUGUUAUUUAAACAAAAUAUCAGUAUUAUUGGCAAUAUAUGUAGAUAUAGAAUUGAGAACUUCUAAACGCUCUAAGGAUCCUUCUAAGAUAGCUGCAAAACUUUUCAGUGCAUUAUGGAUAUAUUUAAAUAAAUCAAAAGAGCAUAUAUUUAAAGUAUUACUUAGGAUUAAACUGAUUACCAAAAGAUACGCAAAGAUUUGUGAUCUUAUAUUCUCUAAAAGCUUUACAAAUUUAAAAACAAAUGGAGAAUCUAUGACUGGGAUAAAAUAUAUCAGAUAUUUAUUCGCUUUAAAGCUUUGGAGAAAAAUAAAAGAAAAUUCAGAAGAAACAAAACAAGUUGAUGAAUUAGCUGUGGCUAUAUUAGGAUCACAUAUGCCAAAGAUGCAAGCAGAAUUAUUGAAACUUGUACCUAAACUUCCUUUGAAUUGUAAAAAUGAAACUUUAUGGUUAAUGCAACCAAACUUAUUUGAUCUAAAACAAGCAUGUAAUGAUUUCCUAAUACUUGAAGAAAAAAUUGAGAUGACGGAAUAUAAUGAAUUGCUUUCCACAAUAAAAACUGAAAGAAUACAUAAUUAUACAAAUCCAGAGACAAGUAUAAAUAUCACCAAGAAUAAAGAAAUAGAUUCCUUGGGUUGUAUAUCUAAUAUAAAUCAGAAGAUAACUUUAGAUGAAAGUAAAUUAAUGAAAGAUAUUUGUAAAGAAAAUGAUAAUUCUAUAAAAAGUCAUAUUAAAAAAAAAGUAGGAAAAAAUAAGAAAUUCAAAUUUGUGCCAAAUGUAAAACCAGGGGAAAUAAUAGUCAUUGAUUUUUCUAAAGAUAAUGAGGAAUGUAUUUCCCUGAAUAAAAAGAAAAAGAAUAAAUGUAAAAAAAAUUUGGGAUGGCUUAGAAUUGUGGCAAAAAAGUAUCAGAAAAACCAAAAACUUUUUAUAGAUGAUGCGAAAAAUAUUGACACUAAAGAAUAUGCAGAUACAGUAAAUAAACAAAAUAGAUUAGAAGACUUGCAAAGCUCUCUAACAUCUUUAAUUGGUCAUGAUAGUUUCUGUAAUACGUUAAAUUUUAAUGAACGAAUAAUAAAUCCUUGCCUGAUUAAAAAAUGUGUAGAAGAUAAAACGUUAAGUGAUAAUAACGAAAGAAAUGUUGAAUUGUACAAUCAAGAACCCUUGAUAAAUAUUACAGAUUCAUCUGCACUAAGAAAAAAAUGUGAACAAUCUGUUAAUCAAAAAAAUUCGAUUGGUAGAUGUGUAGAUAUAGUUGCAUUUGGUUUAAAUGCAAAGGCAGAAGAAGAUUUUGAUUUAUUUUCAUUAGAUGAUAAUGGUUCUAUAUCGAUGUUUAAAAAUAUAUCUUCUUCAUGCUCAUCGCCAUUAUUUAUCCAAUCAGAUAUAAAAAUUUCUGAAUCUAGAGAAUGUGUUUCAAAUCUUGAUUUUAAAAACUCUGAUUGCGAAUCCAAUGAUAUGAGAAUGGAACAAGUUUAUGACUUCCAAGAAGCAGAUAUUUUAAAAGAAAAUAGUUCAAAAAUAAAUACAACUAAUCAAACUUUAAUGGAUGAAGCAUGUAUUUCCAAGGAUGUACCUUCAAAUCAUUUACCGAUUCAAACUGAAGAUUUUUUUGUACCACCAUAUAAUAAUAUACCAACGUCUUCAUUGCAAUUAGACUUUGAAUUAUUACCAACAGAACAAUUGAUAGAAACAUUUAAUUCAUCAUUACCUUUCAGUCAGUAUGAUUUAGUAUCAAAUAAUCCAAUUCCUUUGGACUCACAAUCUACAUCUACAGAAAAUGAUAAUAUAAAUAUACAACAAAUUGUAACUGGAUUACAAUCAGUUGAACCUUAUGAACAAAUACAGCAAAACAUAAAGAUAUCUUCUGAUUGCAACCAAUUAUAUACAGACAAAGAGAUAAUGGAAAAUACAAGUAAUUUUUGGAAACAAGUAGAAUUAACGGAUUUAGAUGAUACUUUACCACAAAAAAAAAGUAUAACGUUGAAUUUCCGAAAACCGAAUAUUAUUUUUAAAAAUGAUAUAGAGACUGAUCAAUCUGUAAUUAUGAUAACACAAGGUGUAUCAGAAGAUACCAAUCUUUUAUAUAAAGUAGAAUCAGAAGGCAAUAUUUUAAUACCAACAGAAAAAUCUUGCUUAAAACCUUUAAAAGGAAAUAUUACGAAGUCUGAUACUCAAAUUUCCAAAAUACCUCUUAUACAAGACAAAUCUAUGAAAGAAAUUUCAACAAAGAUCUCUAUAAGGCCCAAUGUUAGAAAACUUGAUAUAACGCCAUUCAAUGAAGAAACAUCAACCAAAAGAAGAAAAGUUACAUCUGAAUUUUUACCUCUUUUAGAUGCAAGUAGAGUUAUAUAUUCAACAAAUACACAAACUCAAGCAAAAGAUUUACUUUCUGGAAUGAAAGGUAAUUUGACAUUAAAAUUUAUUAGUAUUUUGAACCAAAUAUCACUUUUAUAUUAUGAUAAAUUAUGUGUUGUACUCUACAAUGAUCUAUAUGUAUAUACAUAUAUUUUUAUUUAAUAUAUAUAUAAAUUUUGAUUUAUAUUAUUGCUAGUUAAAAUACAUAAUGCAAGUUUCACUAUAAAUCUUUUACGGAAAUUUAAUUUUAAAUAUAGCAAAUAUAGUUCUCUACAAAAUAAUAUCAAUCGCAUUAAAUAUACGAAAUAUAUAUAUAUGCAUACAUAAAUGUACAUAUAAAGUUUAUAAUUAUGUGAUAUCAUCAAUUGAAGAUGUCUGCAUUGAAGAUCUAUGGUUACUACAAAUUAUAAAUCAAAUAUGAUGGAAUCAAUGGUCAAAAUAUGCAUAUGAUACCACCAAUUGCAGUUAAAGCAUAUCAUGCAGCCUAUCAUGUACAAGCUUCUAUCACUACCAAAGAAGCAAAAAAUUUGCAUUGAAAAUAUGAUGGAUAAGAUCUAAAAAUCCUGAAUAUAGUAUGAAUAUAGUAUAUUGAUAAUUUAGCAAAUUAAAUAACUUCGUGGAUAUGCCACAAAUAAAUAAGGUAUUUGAAUAUGAAAUUCAAAAUUAGUAAUUACUAAUUAAUUUUGUGAGUAUUAUUUAUAUGAAAACUAAUAUCACACUGAAAGUAAGCCCUAUACUAAUUUAAAAAUUUUAGAAUCAAGGUUAUUUCAAGGUCAUAUUACACAGAUAAAUAUACAGUAAUAUUGUUUAUAACAUACAACCAAAGAAAAUUUUCGUAUAUUUGUAAAAAACAUGAGUGAUCUUGAAAAAGCCAUUAAAAAGUAACAUUUAUAAAAAAGAAUUUUAUUCCAUCUAGUUCGUCUUCUUAAACCAUUUAAAUUACAUACAAAAUAUUUUUCGUAUUGUCACAAAUAGAUGAGAUAUUUAGAUAGCUUAUAUACUAUCGUUCAUUUUUUUCAAUUUUAUGAUUAUUUGAUUCCAUUACUAAGCCAUUUGUUAGUGAUUUGAGAAUAUGUUACUUAUAUUAUUUUAAAGUUAUUAAAAAAAAGUAGAAAUUAUUAAAUCCCGAUAUAUACAUAAAAAUAUUUUGCAUAUUAUUUUAAUAUUAAAAAGGAAAAGUUUCCUGUAAGUAAUAUAUAUGAUAUGAGGGAUACUUAACAAUAUUUGUUUUCUAUGCUUCAUGAUUUUUAACCAUAAUUAUUGUAUAAUCAAAUAUUUUACAAAAAACAAUUAUUUAUUAUUGAUUAUCUCAUUAUGAGUUAAUUUUUUAUCUAUAAUAACAUUAUACUUUUUACUCUAUAUAUGAAACAAAAAAAUAAUCAAUAAUUUAAUGUUUAUAAUAUAUAAUUCAUAAUAGAUAGCCGAUUCUAAAAUGGUAUUAUUGAGAACUACAUUUAUAUUUUAAUGAUAUAAUAAAAAUAUAAAGUAUACUUUUAUUAAAUUUUAAUUAAACAAAUAUAAGAAAACGUAUGUGACUUUAUUUUAAAUUAGCAGCAUAUUAAUCUUAUUAUUAGUACAUAUUUUCCUAGAAUACUUAUUUGUAAAAAUUGUUGGUUUAUAUAUAUAUGUGUGUAUAUAUAUAUUGAUGAUAAAGUGUAAUAAUGUAAGUAAAGGUAUAUGAAAAUAAUAAGGUCACAAUGUUCUCCUUAAUAUUUAUCAAAAGUAAUUACCUUGUUCAAAAAACAGAUAUAAUUAUUAUUCUUUAAAUGUUCAUACAUAGAUGAUAAUAUAAUAUCAUAUAAGAAAUAAAAUCUUACAUCGUAAUUGAAGAUUUUGACAGAAAAAAAUUAAUGAUAACAGUGAAUGUAAUAAUAAUUAAUUUUAGCUUAGCUAGAAUCUGUAACUAUUAUCUUUGUUUUGAUUAUUUUUAUUAUACAUUAACAUUAAGUCUUAACAGGGUGCAAUACAAGAAAAUGAUAUAUUUUUAUUUAAACUCAAUGGCACAUAACUAUUAUAUAACAUAUUCCAUAUAUAUUAAAUUUCAUUAGUAAUAUAAGGAAAAAAUAGAAAAGUUAUCAUUGAUUUUAAUAUUGAAAUGUAAUGGUUUACUAUUAAAUCAAUUUAAUUAUUUUUUUUUAUGUAAAUACGUUUUAAAAAUCAUUAAUGAUUACUUACAUAUAAUUGUUAUAUUUUCUUUAUCAGUACAAAAUUUUGUACUUUUUUAUACAAAAUAUUUUAAUUUUACAGUUAACUAAUAAGAACCUAAUUUUCGUAAAAGUAUAGUAUUUAAAUAUGUUUGAAAUCCUCUUAUAAUUUUUCAUUUUUAUUUUAGAUAUAUGAUCAAAUUACGAUAAAAUAUAUUUAACCUCAUAAUUUAUGAUAAGUUCCAUAUUAUUUAUGAUUAUUUUGCUUGAUUUCAAAUGUAAACUGAUGUUUUUAUAUCUCAUAUUUAUUUUUUAUUAUUUAUUACUGUUAGAAGAUUUACAGAAAUCUUAAAAAAAAUGUUCGACAUCCAUAUUUUUUUUAUCUUCUUUUUUGCUUAAAAUUAUAUUUCUAUGAUCAUAUAUAUAGUUGAUUGUAAUACGUUAAUUAUUAGUAUUGUUUAAGAUAUCUUUUGUAUAACAUAAAAUUUAGUGAUUAUAAAUUAUGUAUUCAAUUCAAGUUUAGCAAGUCAAGCAGUUAUUUUUAAAUAAAUAA